GCCUGUUUACCAAAAACAUCGCCUCCUGCAACAUAACCGGUAGUUUGAGAUCCAGCCUGCCCAGUGACCACAAGUUCAACGGCCGCGGUAUUUUGACCGUGCAAAGGUAGAGCAUUCACUUGUCUUUUAAAUAGAGACCUGUAUGAAUGGCUAAACGAGGGCUUAACUGUCUCCCCUUUCAAGUCAGUGAAAUUGAUCUACCCGUGCAGAAGCGGGUAUAAUAAUACAAGACGAGAAGACCCUUUGGAGCUUAAGGUACAAAACUCAACCACGUCAAGCAACUUAAUAAAAAGAAAAAACCUUGUGGAAUAUGAUAUUUUACCUUCGGUUGGGGCGACCACGGAGGAAAGAAAAGCCUCCAAGUGGACUGGGAAAACUUCCUAAAGCUAAGAGGGACAUCUCUAAGCCGCAGAACAUCUGACCAAACAUGAUCCGGCAACAAAGCCGAUCAACGAACCAAGUUACCCUAGGGAUAACAGCGCAUCCUCUCCCAGAGUCCAUAUCGACGAGGGGGUUUACGACCUCGAUGUUGGAUCAGGACAUCCUAAUGGUGCAGCCGCUAUUAAGGGUUCGUUUGUUCAACGAUUAAAGUCCUACAUGAUCUGAGUUCAGACCGG
rnacentral:rRNA from 1 species